CACUAUGCUUAGCCCUAAACUUAGAUAGUUACCCUAAACAAAACUAUCCGCCAGAGAACUACUAGCAAUAGCUUAAAACUCAAAGGACUUGGCGGUGCUUUACAUCCCUCUAGAGGAGCCUGUUCUAUAAUCGAUAAACCCCGAUAUACCUCACCAUCUCUUGCUAAUUCAGCCUAUAUACCGCCAUCUUCAGCAAACCCUAAAAAGGAAGAAAAGUAAGCACAAGUAUCUUAACAUAAAAAAGUUAGGUCAAGGUGUAGCUCAUGAGAUGGGAAGCAAUGGGCUACAUUUUCUAAAAUUAGAACACCCACGAAGAUCCUUACGAAACUAAGUAUUAAAGGAGGAUUUAGUAGUAAAUUUGAGAAUAGAGAGCUCAAUUGAAUCGGGCCAUGAAGCACGC
rnacentral:rRNA from 1 species